UAANCCUGAGAAACCCAAAAGAUCGAAUGGGGAGAUUCAUCGUCAGCGGCACUGGCUUUCGUGUGGUUCUCUCGUCACUGUUCGGGACUUCGGUCUCGCAACGUGCGAAACUAUUGCGAUAUGUUGGGCUGUCGGCGUGCACUUCUCCCCUAGUAGAACGUCGCAACCCGUUGGGUGUCAGUUUACGGUCUGGGUGGUAGACUGUUUUGUCACAUUAACCUGUGUAUAAAGCAGACCCCUAGUUAUAAACCGACUGACUGCCCGACGGUACUCGAAAAUGGUAUUGAGUCGCAUCUUAUUUGAAUGCGUCAGGCACACUGCAAGUGAGAAUAGUGUUUCUUGGUGGUGCGGACCUAGUGCCGUCCCCGAGCCUGUUCAGCUGUUGGUCGGUGUUGCUCUCUGACCGGCUCAA
rnacentral:rRNA from 1 species